UGCCAGCAGCCCGCGGUAAUACGUAGGGUGCAAGCGUUAAUCGGAAUUACUGGGCCGUAAAGCGUGCGCAGGCGGUUAUAUAAGACAGAUGUGAAAUCCCCGGGCUCAACCUGGGAACUGCAUUUGUGACUGUAUAGCUAGAGUACGGUAGAGGGGGAUGGAAUUCCGCGUGUAGCAGUGAAAUGCGUAGAUAUGCGGAGGAACACCGAUGGCGAAGGCAAUCCCCUGGACCUGUACUGACGCUCAUGCACGAAAGCGUGGGGAGCAAACAGGAUUAGAUACCCUGGUAGUCC
rnacentral:rRNA from 1 species